rnacentral:rRNA from 1 species
UACGUAGGGUGCGAGCGUUAAUCGGAAUUACUGGGCGUAAAGCGUGCGUAGGCGGUUCGGUAAGUCAGCUGUGAAAGCCCCGGGCUCAACCUGGGAAUUGCGGUUGAAACUGGCGAACUAGAAUCUGGCAGAGGGGGGUGGAAUUCCACGUGUAGCAGUGAAAUGCGUAGAGAUGUGGAGGAACACCGAUGGCGAAGGCAGCCCCCUGGGCUGAGAUUGACGCUCAGGCACGAAAGCGUGGGGAGCAAACAGG